rnacentral:rRNA from 1 species
CCAAUAGCGUAUAUUAAAGUUGUUGCAGUUAAAAAGCUCGUAGUUGAAUUUCGGGGUUAGUAGGUUGGUCAUGCCUCUGGUAUGUACUGGUCUCACUGAUUCCUCCUUCCUGAUGAACCUUAAUGCCAUUUAUUUGGCGUUUUGGGGAAUUUGGACUGUUACUUUGAAAAAAUUAGAGUGUUUAAAGCAAGCUAACGCUUGAAUACAUUAGCAUGGAAUAAUGAAAUAGGAUGUUCGAUCCUAUUUUGUUGGUUUCUAGGAUUGACGUAAUGAUUAAUAGGGAUAGUUGGGGGCAUUAGUAUUCAAUUGUCAGAGGUGAAAUUCUUGGAUUUAUUGAAGACUAACUACUGCGAAAGCAUUUGCCAAGGAUGUUUUCAUUAAUCAAGAACGAAAGUUAGGGGAUCGAAGACGAUCAGAUACCGUCGUAGUCUUAACCAUAAACUAUGCCGACUAGGGAUCGGAUGAUGUUAAUUUUUUAAUGACUCAUUCGGCGCCUUACG